rnacentral:rRNA from 1 species
UACGUAGGGACCGAGCGUUGUCCGGAAUCAUUGGGCGUAAAGAGCGUGUAGGCGGCCUUUUAAGUCCUGCGUGAAAUCCUGCGGCUCAACCGCAGACGGUCGUGGGAAACUGGAAGGCUAGAGUGCGGGAGAGGAGAGUGGAAUUCCUGGUGUAGCGGUGAAAUGCGCAGAUAUCAGGAAGAACACCCGUGGCGAAAGCGGCUCUCUGGAACGGUACUGACGCUGAGACGCGAAAGCGUGGGGAGCGAACAGG